GUAGUCUCGCACAGAUGCAUAUCAAUAAGCGGAGGAAAAGAAACUAACAAGGAUUCCCCUAGUAACGGUGAGUGAAGCGGGAAGAGCUCAAAUUUGAAAUCUUAAAGGGUUUCCCUUUACGAAUUGUAGUUUAAAGAAGUGUUUUCUGUUGAGGUUUUGGUAAAAGUUCUUUGGAAUAGGACAUCAUAGAGGGUGAGAAUCCCGUAUUUGACCUCUACUUUCAACUUUGUGAUACACUUUCAAAGAGUCGGAUUGUUUGGGAAUGCAGUCCAAAAUGGGUGGUAAAUUUCAUCUAAAGCUAAAUAUUGGCGAGAGACCGAUAGCGAACAAGUACCGUGAGGGAAAGAUGAAAAGAACUUUGAAAAGAGAGUUAAACAGUACGUGAAAUUGUCAAAAGGGAAGCGUUUGACACCAGUGUUGUUUUUCUGAAAAUCAAUUAAAGAACUGUUUAUGCUAAGUUGUUUAGACUUUAUCAGCUAACUGUUUAGUUUUGAGCUUUUCUUUAAUGCACUUUUCAGUUAACAAGUCAACAUCAAUUUCUUUUGCUGUAAAAAAGCUUGAGGAAGGUGGCUUGAGAUUCGUCUUAAGUGUUUAUAACCUCUUGCCUAUGCAGUCGGAGAGAUUGAGGUCUGCAGCGUAGAUCCUUCGGGGCUAAAUGCAUUUGUGCUAAGUUAUAGGCAUUUUAUAGACAACUUGUUGACUAUGAUUUGUCUUGUAGCUUACUCGCUUAUGUUAUUUUACCUACGCUUAGGAUGUUGACAGCAGUAUAGACUGU
rnacentral:rRNA from 1 species